CUUUAGCGGUAAUCACAUUAUUAACGUAAGCUUAUGGUGGUCUUUUCCCUAUUUAUUAGUAAUAGCAAUCGGUGGUCUUGUUUUAAACCCGCAGUUAUGCUUUGAUUUCUUGGAGCUUGUUAUGGCUGAUAUCAGGUGACCGCAUACUCCUUCUGAAGCAGGAUCAGGAAAAGUGAAACGUCUGAACGAGAGUGGAAAGAUGCUGCUACUCGGUGAUUUGGUCUAUUUGGCUCACAUGUAGGAAAGUAUUACUAAUUCUGGAGACAUCUUGCAACUGCGUGGAUUAGGAAAGCUAUCUGUCACCGGAACCGCUUAAAAAAUUCGACUUCGCUUUCACUCGCGGUCCGACCGCUUACAGAUUACACUUUCUCGUUCCG